AGAACAGGUCAAAUCGCUUCUACUCAAUUCUGUUUUUUUGUGAUUGUGUUAGUUUUUCUGUAAAAUUUCAAAUGUCAAAUAUAAAUUAAUUUUUUUUUCUUUCAAACGAAAUAUUAUAAAAUAAUUUUCAAAUAUGGUAAUAUUCAACAAAUUAAUGGGAUAGUUGGUCUGCAAAAUAUUUUAAAUAAGUAUAUAAUGCGUUUAUUUGUUUGAAAAUAAAUUAAAUUGAAUUUCAGAAAACAAUUUCUAAAAUUUUGAAUGAAAAACAAAAAAAAACUGAUUGAGUGAUUGUUUUGACUUUUGAAUAUCCAUGUAUUAGUGCUUCUUGAGUGGAUUCUGAAUUUAAAUCGAGAAGAGAAUUUCUCUCCUGAGAAGCGUUCUAGCUGUCAUUUUCGUGCGAAUAAAACACUUUCAGAAGACUUCUGAACGCUUCCGGACGAUUCCGGACGGCCAAUCGAAAACGCCAUUAGUGGUGUAAAAAAAAUAAUAUGUCAGAGAAAAUUAAAUUUAAAAAUUUUAAUAUUCAGGAUUUUAAAAAUUUGACAUUUUAGUUGGGUCAACUGAGGUGAAUUUAGAAAAAAACUCAAAAAGCAAUUUCCGUAAUAAAAAGUGAUAGAAAAAAGGAUUGAUAUUGGAAUCGAUAGAUAUUGUUAAUAAAUACAAGUCAGAAGUCACACAUGAAAGCAAAAAAAUUAAUAAAUCUGCAACUCGAGUCAAAAUCUUGAAAUUCAGUGUUUGAGAAAUAAUUCACCAGAAAUCAGCACGAAAGGUGUUUGAAAUAAUAUUUAUGUUAUUAGAGAGCAAACAAAAAAUUACUUGACAUGUAUCUACCAAAUUUUGUAUUUAACUUAGUUUUUGGCUCCUUUUUAUAUUAUAAGAAUUACAGAUUUUUACAUUUCAAUACACUCUGUACACUGUUUAACGAAAAAAACGAAAUUUGAAUAUAUUUUUCUGGUGGCCUAAUACGUUUUGUAGGGCAUAAUGAAUAUAUUGCUUUUUAUUUUAUUUUUCAAAAUAUGUACCUCCAAAAUCUGGAUUUAGGAACAAAAAACGCUUUGUGGGGAAAAACCCAAGAAUAAUAAAUUGGUCGAUCUUCGGCGUUUCCAGCAUCCAGCUAGGUACACGUUAUUAGGAGUGUUUUUGGCACAGCUAUCCGUAUCGGCAGUGGGAGCUUCCAUGUAUUAUAAAUGCAACACCAAGCUGCGGAUAAAACUUAAAUCUGGCUGCGGAUAAGAAAUUGACAUUUGUUCGAGUAUCGAUACUCGAACGAAGAAAAUUUAUAUGGGCGACUGACCAAAUCUACGAACCAUAAACAAAAAAUACCAAGACUGGAGACUCGGCGGUCAACUGACGUUUGCCUACAAGCUGCGAGGUGUGGUGAAUGUCGUGAACCUAUCGUUGUGUUCGUGUCCGAUGUGUGGUAAAUGUCGUGAAUCUAUAAAUGUGUGCGUGUUAACGUCACUUACCAACGUGGUGGCUUUCACAUAUAUUCACAGACAACACUGUACUCAAAAGGGUUUUGAGGGGAAAGACGUACGAGAGUUUCCAGCAUAAACAAAAAAUACCAAGACUGGAAACUCGGCGGUCAACUGACGUUUGCCUAUAAGCUGCGAUUUGUGGUGAAUGUCGUGAACCUUUCGUUGUGUUCGUGUCCGAUGUGUGGUGAAUGUCGUGAAUCUAUAAAUGUGUGCGUGUUAACGUCAUUUACCAACGUGGUGGCUUUCACUUAUAUUCACAGACAGCACUGUACACAAAAGGGUUUUGGGGGGAAAGACGUACGAAAGUUUCCAGUCUUGGUAUUUUUUGUUUAUGCUACGAACAUACCCCAAUAUGUCAAAAACUUAUCCGAAAGCAAAAGUAAAUACAAAUCAAACUUUGAUUUGAACAAAUGCAAAUGGAUAUGCAAAUGGAGAAUCACGAAAAAAGCAUCAAGAAAAAAACCUGGGCAAAGGAGGAGACUGGUGGCAAGCCGAUUAUUACCAACACAAAUACAAUAAAUAUUGGUGCUAGAAAUGUUGCAGAAGCUAACUCUCAAUUUUCACAACAUUAAUGCAGUCAAGAAAAAGAAACAGAACCAGUCGAAACAAUUGUUGAAAUUUGAACACCAUCAUUAUCUUCAAACGUCAUACGCAUACCGUCGGCUGAAAGUCCUACUAGUCCAAUUCCCACAACAUCGUCUUCAACAUCAUCUUCAAACAUCAUCCCAACAACAGAAAGUCCAACUACUCCCAUUUCCACAACAUCUGGUGCAUCAAAACAAAAAAGGAGUGGUAUUGUGGUAUUAAGAGAAAAAUGACCAAAGGGAUGUACUUCGCCGAGAAAAAUGAAAGGAGCAAGGAGGAUAUCGAGAAGAAACACGACAAGUGGAAGGAAUUUAUGAAUCUGCAAAGAAAAAAGCAAGAAAGUCGAACUGAAAAAUUGAAUUUUCUUAAAGAAUAUAUAAAUUCAAAAAAGCAAUAAGUGAACAACAAAUUAUUUGGAAAACACCAUAGGAUAGAGACAAGUUUUACAAAAGAACAAAACGUCAAAAUUAAUGAAUCAAUAAAAAAAAAGAUGUAAGAAAUUUGUAUAUAAAAAAUUUAAA